GGAAGGGUAAUCGUUUGAAAUUCAAAACAAAGGGGCCAAAUCGACCGAAAGAAUCGUUGAUCAUGAUGAACAUUUGGGAAAUGCAGUUGAGAAGACCGAAGGUUUCAGAUAUUGGGGCGCACGAUUGCGUGUGACGGCGAAAUUAAUGGCGGAAGACGUUUCGACGCCUGCACGAUGACAAGUGGGCUCACGAACUGAGAAAGUGGCUCGCGGAUUGAGAUAGUGGUCAUAAUGUCGACGGUUCAGGCAGCCGCACGCCUUGGACGUCAUCAUUGGGGUUGGCCGUAUUAAAGGACGCCACGUGGCAAGUUUGGUUAGCAGGAUCAAGAUCGUGCAAUCGUGUUCAAUAAAUGUGCCUUGGAACUCGGGC
rnacentral:lncRNA from 1 species